rnacentral:lncRNA from 1 species
CCCGAAUUGACUGGACAUACACUGAAAUAUUUGCCAUUGGUCUUACUCAAACAACGAUUCACUCAUAAAUGCAUUACUAAAAAAAGUGUGAGGUAAAUUGUUUUGUUUGUCUAGUUUCUCAGAUCCGUUAAAAUACACUUAGAAAUAUAUAGAAAAAAACAUUAUCCCCUCCUUUUGCCAAAGACUCAUAGGAGAACAAAUACCAACAACAGAAAAAGAAACAAACAUAAAAGAUAGGAAUGUAGUGAUCAUCUCAAUCCUUUUUCUUCGUCUGUAAGAUGACAAUGACGCAGCCUACGUUUUCUAAUGCGUUACCGAUACAUCUUUAGUACAUUCAAACUACUGCAAAUCAUCAAAAUGGCGUUCAUAAAGGAGCAACGACUUCAUUUCAAAAAGGAGGGCGGGAGGGUCUGAGUGGGAUUUUUUUUUCGCGCAAACAUUUUUAUUCAUUUUUUAUCGAUGCUAGCAUUCAAAUAUUUUUUUCCAUAUUUGACACUAUAAUGUAUGGGGAAGCUCUGGAUUCAGAUUUAUUUUGUUUAUCAAAUUGGGGAUCAGAAUAUUUUUCUAGGAAGGAUCCAUUCCCCUCCCCCUUUUUUGAAGUCAAAUGGUUGUUCCCUAACUGCUAUACAUGACGUUUGGUGUGAAUACGGUAUAAGAUUGCAACACACGUAAUGUUGUCAUUUUAGCGGUAUUUUCAGCAUUGCAAUACAGGGGUUUUAAAAUCCAUAUCACACUUUUCUUAAAGUGUCGCGUACGAAGUCAGGAAUAUGGUAGUUGAUAUUAAUAGUACGCUUCUUUGCAGUUUUGCGUUUGCGCAGGGACGUUAAGGGCUUUUCAAGAAAAUUCCAAUCUUUAUACACAGCAAAAUUCAUAUUGAACUCAAAGUUGAUUUUCUCUGUAUAAAGGCCAAAAUGUACGUCAAAGGCGAAAACAGGGGUAAAAGGGUCUAUCAUGGAUUUCC